CAGUAGCCGCGGUAAUACGGAGGAUCCAAGCGUUAUCCGGAUUUAUUGGGUUUAAAGGGUGCGUAGGUGGCCUGUUAAGUCAGGGGUGAAAGACGGUAGCUUAACUAUCGCAGUGCCUUUGAUACUGACGGGCUUGAAUACACUAGAGGUAGGCGGAAUGUGACAAGUAGCGGUGAAAUGCAUAGAUAUGUCACAGAACACCAAUUGCGAAGGCAGCUUACUAUGGUGUCAUUGACACUGAGGCACGAAAGCGUGGGGAUCAAACAGGAUUAGAUACCCGGGUAGUCCCUGUCUCUUAUAC
rnacentral:rRNA from 1 species